rnacentral:rRNA from 1 species
CGGACGGGUGAGUAAUGUCUGGGAAACUGCCCGAUGGAGGGGGAUAACUACUGGAAACGGUAGCUAAUACCGCAUAACGUCGCAAGACCAAAGAGGGGGACCUUCGGGCCUCUUGCCAUCGGAUGCGCCCAGAUGGGAUUAGCUAGUAGGUGGGGUAACGGCUCACCUAGGCGACGAUCCCUAGCUGGUCUGAGAGGAUGACCAGCCAUACUGGAACUGAGACACGGUCCAG